GACGAACGCUGGCGGCGUGCUUAACACAUGCAAGUCGAACGAUGAAGCCUAGCUUGCUAGGUGGAUUAGUGGCGAACGGGUGAGUAAUACGUGAGUGACCUACCUUUGACUCUGGGAUAAGCCUGGGAAACUGGGUCUAAUACCGGAUACGACCAAUCUCCGCAUGGGGUGUUGGUGGAAAGCGUUAUGGAGUGGUUUUAGAUGGGCUCACGGCCUAUCAGCUUGUUGGUGAGGUAAUGGCUUACCAAGGCGACGACGGGUAGCCGGCCUGAGAGGGUGACCGGCCACACUGGGACUGGGACACGGCCCAGACUCCUACGGGAGGCAGCAGUGGGGAAUAUUGCACAAUGGGCGCAAGCCUGAUGCAGCGACGCCGCGUGAGGGAUGACGGCCUUCGGGUUGUAAACCUCUGUUAGCAUCGAAGAAGCGAAAGUGACGGUAGGUGCAGAGAAAGCGCCGGCUAACUACGUGCCAGCCGCCGCAGUAACAC
rnacentral:rRNA from 1 species